rnacentral:lncRNA from 1 species
UUCAGAAUUACCACAAGCAAGAGUACUGCUGUGAAUGGUCACGUCUUGCGAGUUCUGUAGGUGGAUCCCAUCGGUGUUGGGGCUGUCACCCGGAGAUGAAGCAGUGAAGUCCGAAACCUGUACAGCAGUGCAAUCGUCAAAUUUGAGGUGAGUUUGCUGGCUGUUUUGAAUUGUUAUGCCGGCAACUGUAACGCCACUGCUACCAUAGAACCUCAGCGCCUGCAAACAUAUUAAAAGAUUUAACCAGGAAUGAUUGGUUUGGACUAACAUUGCUAGAAUCUGAAAAUGAACUGUUAUUGACAAGAUAAUCACCGUUGGCUUGGUCCCCGGCAUAUUUCCUUUUAGCGCACUGCUUGCAGAAUCAUCUGCAGUACCGUAAGAGGAGGGCGCGUCGUGCCACCAGACGGAGCCUUGUCCGUCGAUUAUGCCCUUACCUGUCAGUGUAAGCCCUUUAAGCUUCGAGAACUCAAGCCACUGUAAAAUACCUGAUCCCCAAGCUCCAGAAUUUGUAGGAGCUAUGAUCUUUCCAUCCAACUGAAUGAAAUUUCAUGACAUUCAUUAAUUCGCUCUAGCGGACGAAAAUAAUUAUAGCAUGAGUUUGUUAGCUUAAUGGAGCAAAUUAAUUAAUAAUUAAUUACCUGAAAUAAAAUGUUUGGUUGACAGGUAGGGCCCGAGAAGGAAAUGGGUCCCACAAGGAAUACGGAACCAGAUGGAACCACCAUGGUUGCUCCCUCUAUCUUACAAGCCGCUACCCAUGCUGCUUCAAAUGCCUGCAUAAUUAUGUCAAAUUACCUUAAUGGACCGGAAGUUUAAGUCGGGUUCAUGAAAUAAUUAAGCUGCAACAACGUGCUAUAAUUAGGUAUCUAAAUGUAAUUGACACUUAGCUUGUUAUUUCACCUUGAUUAGUUUACUAAUAUUACUGUAUUAGUAUGAUUUGAUGGGACCGCCAAGAUAUUUUCUUAUACAAGUGUCAUUGUCAUUGACUGCUCCGCACGGUCACAUGCAUGAGGCUCCUCAAUAAUAUAACAUGAUCACUUCUAAACAAUAAGAGCAGCUUAUUGCCUUAUUCUCUCUUCUUAUAUAUGCCGGCUGUUAUAAUAAACGUCGCCGGAAUUCAUGUUAAGGUCCGGACGUUCGGAUUUUGUAAAAUCCGGAUUUGUACUAGAAUAUCGCUGUGUAAUCAAUUAACUAGAAAAUUA